GGACUAUAAACCCUACUGCAGCACAUAUAUUAAAAUUGGAAUGAUACAGAGAAGAUUAGCAUGGCCCUGCACAAGGAUGACACGCAAAUUUGUGAAACAUUCCAUAUUUUU